GCCAGAUCCCACACAGAAACAAAUCAAACCAAUUCGGACUAUUUCAUCUCCCUCUCUCUCUCCCAAACACCCCGAAUAAACCGAAGGAAACCAGAAUAAACCACCUUUAUCUCAGACUAGGAAAAUCACGGGAUUCCCCCACGAUGGACUGAAGGUGAGAGCAAGCGUACACGCACACACAUUCUAGACUGGCUGCGUAGGUGUUGCUGUACAGAGGGUCAGGGUUCACAGCUGGCGAGGGUGUUGCACGUGUCAGUGACUCUUCAACGAUUUGUGACUUAGUUAAGAUAAGGGAGUUCUUUGAUUUCUGAGGAUGAAUCGUGCAGUUAGUGUUUGCCGUCGUUUUAUUUCCUGCAGAAGACCUCCGACAGGUUCUUCACGGUAUGGCGCCAAAUAAUAAUUUCCAGAGACUGACACAAGAUCGAGAGCGGCCAGCAGGGAGCUGAGGAAUUGUUACCGGUAAUUCUACUAGGAAAACAGGCGCAACUCGCACAUCUAGUUCUAACUUGAAUCAUCCCAACUCGAGAUAUCCAAACGCGUAAAGUCUGAUACACAAAACCCUCACCGGUGGAGGAUAACCAACAUAAUCCUGAAAUAUCCAAACUUGCGUCACGUCAUCGAGAAGUCUGAAGUCAAGGAUUUAACAAGCGGUUAUUCACUCUCAAACUAUCCGAACUCCGCGCUCAAUACUAGGUGCGUGACGCGGAACGAAUGCCGUCCGGAGUGGAUAAAAAAAAUACGAAAGAGCAACGAUAUGCCACUUAAUAGGCUGCUGAUGAGAGGAUAUACGUUUAGAGACCGAAUCAGGUAUUAAGCGAUUACGUUCCGUAUAGAGCCAUUAUGUUUGGUGAUUGACACGUAUACAUCAAGAUAGAAACUCAUUUUCAAAUAACCAAAACGCUGUAAAUAACAAAAUACACAAGUUUUUCAGGUAAAAAGAGGGAAGAAAAAGUCAUCAGUUACAGUUAGCAAAGCAGAGCAAUACUGACCUGUAAAAAAUAUUAUUAAUUAAUAAAGGUGAUGAGCCAGGCGGGGAAGCGAGAAAAGCAACCAUAUUGUUUUGGGCGUAUCAUGAAUUAGAUCCUGUUGUAGGAAGAAAUGGAACUGUUCCUCACACGGACCCCCCCCCCCCCUCGCCUUGUACAUCAGGUGGUUGUCAUUUCGUGACGUGCUUCGCCUUGACGUCAUCAGGAAUGCUAGUCGGACGUCACAGGAAUAGAAAAACAAGCAAUCAUGAAGAACGACUUUUUUUAUCUUUUCUAUUUGUAGUGAACAACUUUAUUUUCAGCUUGUACAUCAGUUGGUUCUCUGCGAUCUAUUUUUACAACAGGAAUAACAGGAAUCAGAAAUACCACCAGAGACAAUAUAGAAGUGCCAUAUUUCUGCCAUUCUAUUAGUGACGGUGACAAUAAGAAUGGCAAUAACCAUAACAUGAAUGAUAGUGAUGGGUAUUGUUAUGAUAAUAAGGAUUUAUUUUAUUUACUAAACAUAUGCUAAUGAUAGAUAUAGCAUCCAUUAAAACAGCAUAAUUACCUCCGCCUAGAGGUUAUGUUUUUGUAAGCGUUGGUUAGUUUGUUUGUUUGUUGGUUCGUAGAAUAACUCAAAAAACAUGGAACGGAUUUUUAUGAAAGUGGGUUUUUGCCCAACUUUGAUGCCAUUAACUGUUGAUCAUGAUCGGGAUCCAGGAAUUGUUUAAAGGAUUGCAUCAGUGAUAUUAUUGCUUCGGCGAAGGUACGCACUUUUUCAAGAAAUUCUAACACGAGAUGUUUUUUUAUUCAGCAAAGACCGACGUGACCGAAGAGGAAACAAGACCUGCAGUAUUUACAAAUAUGUUUUUUAUGUCAGCGUAUGUGCAUUAUUUCCUUCCUAACGGUCCGCGUGUAUCUCGGGUGCGGAAAUAAGCCAUUGUGCCGUUGAAUGGGUUUCUUGUCUCCAGGACUUCUAUCCAUUCGCAUACUUUAUACAAGAUGCCAUUGUGCCAAAUGAAUACAAUCUCGAUACGUGGGAAAAAUCAUGGUCAUUGUUGCCUGCUUUUUCUACGAUAACUAUGCCUGCGAUAACUACGAACCGUAUUCUGAGUCUUAUGAUGAAUUAGGAAUAGGAAUUAGGAAUCACCUCACCUCUGUAAUACAUAUCGCACUGUACAAUAUACGUUAGGAAUUUCAUUAACCGUAACUUAUAUUUAGCUUACGGCAAGACAGACUGUAGAAUAAUGUCCCUUUUCAUUUUAUGAGGAUAUAUUAAUAUUUUAACUUUGGGUAAUCUAAGCAAGAUCACAGUCUGUAGC
rnacentral:lncRNA from 1 species